UACGUAGGGGGCAAGCGUUGUCCGGAUUUAUUGGGCGUAAAGAGCGUGUAGGCGGCCAUGCAGGUCCGUUGUGAAAACUCGAGGCUCAACCUCGAGACGUCGAUGGAAACCGUCUGGCUAGAGUCCGGAAGAGGAGAGUGGAAUUCCUGGUGUAGCGGUGAAAUGCGCAGAUAUCAGGAAGAACACCUAUGGCGAAGGCAGCUCUCUGGGCAUUAACUGACGCUGAGGAGCGAAAGCAUGGGGAGCGAACAGG
rnacentral:rRNA from 1 species